AAUUUUCUAGUUUACUUUUAGUAAAAGAAUUAACAAAGAUAUGACAAAACCCAUGUUCAGAAAACGUCUCCAACUUCAAUUCAUUUUCCUUGGUUUGAAACCAAGAACUUGGAAUAAAAAAAUCGUUCUUGUCCAACUCCAAGCCAACGAAUUUAUUCUUGGUUUUGAAACCAAGAACAUUAAAACAAAACACUUCGUCCUAGUAUUCAACUAGUUAGCCAAAUCCAAGUAUUUUAAAAUCCCUAUACUUUCAUCCAAAUCUUGGUUUCACUUCAAGUUUGAUGUCUUUGGCAUUGGAAACCAAGAACUAGUCUCGUCCAAAUCCUUGGCUCUAUUUCGUUAUUUUGGCAGUGAUACCAAGCCAAUUUCGUUCCUCAAAUUUAAAAGCGCAGAGGCAUAAAUCCAAUUUUUGGGUUCUAAGUUCAAUCCACGAAGGAUUAUUCGGAGUCAUUCCUACUCCAGGUAUGUUAAGGCUAUCCCUUCUUUCUUUUGGCAUGAUCCAUACGAUAUGAAUGAAACGUGCAAAUGCACAAAUUCUAUAAGUGACUUUACUCAUAGAAGUAAUAGAAAUAUUUAUGUUCUUUAAUUCUCAUGUGUCAUAAUAUUUUAUCAUCUGUUCAUGGGUCUUAGAAAAAUACGAAAGUUGAAAAGAGUUUACUUUAUGAUAUUACUCAGAGGCAAAAUGGUCUUAUGACAUUCCGAAUAAUUUUAUUGACGUACUUUUUAUGCACUGCAUUCAUGUGCACUGACCCAUGACCAGAUGGCGUUAUAUAUGCGUAUAUAUGUAAAUAUAUGUAUAUGGGAUAUGGGAAAAGGUUAUGGCGUUAUAUACGCACCACCACCUGAUCAGCUGGUAUAUGAUGAUGAUGUUGCCCACAGUGGCUGAAAUAUGAUUCAAACGACGUUAUAUACGCAUAUAUGGGUAUGUAUUCAAAUGGCGUUAUAUACGCUGUCACACCUCCUUUUUACGCACCCGCGGGGGCGCAGGGGAGUUUUUUUCAAUUAAAGGACAAUCGAAAUGGGAUUUGCUUAUUUAUUUCAGAGUCGCCACUUGGGAGAUUUAGGGUGUCUCAAGUCACCAAUUUUAAUCCCGAAUCGAGGAAAAGAAUGACUCCAUAUUACAGUCUGCGCGCCAGAAAUCCGGAUAAGGAAUUCUGUUAACCCGGGAGAAGGUGUUAGGCAUUCCCGAGUUCCGUGGUUCUAGCACGGUCGCUCAACUGUUAUAUUCGGCUUGAUUAUCUGAUUUUUGUACAAAUAUGAACUUAUGUGCAAAUUUUAACCUUUUACCGCUUUCAUAAUUAUUAUUAUUAAGAAUGUGAACAUCGCUUAAAAUAUGUCUUUGGACUGCGUCACAUGAAAUGCACCCACAAUCCAGAACACGUUUUAUUUGAUGUUUUGGGAUUUGGAUACGGGUCGCAUGAAAUGCACACCCAGGCUUAAGAAAGUAAAAUAUUAAACACGCGCCUAAAGAGACUAUCGCGUUAUUAUUUUGGGAAGACCGUGAAAUUCGCUAAAUGGUCCUUCCGAAUUCUAAUUAAUUUUAAAACAAGUAUUUACUGAGGGCCCCGCAAUUUACAUUUUUUAUUCGGCGAGGCUCGUCUCAUUUUUAUUUUUGAAAGGGUAAGCUUAAAGUAACUACACUUUACUUUAUUUAUUUAAAGGGUUAAUUCAAGGUUAUUAAAACAUAUUGUAAACCAUGCUAUAUGAAAUGCACCCGUGAGUCACGACAAGUUCUAUUUAACCUUAUUCCAAAUCGGAGCCGGGUCGCAUGAGAUGCCCCCGGUUCCUUUAAUCUAAUUACAUACAAACGACAAUAUUACCACAAAUUACUAAUUUGAUGCUAUUUAUAAACUAUCACUCUUCUCUUCUUAAUCUAGUUUAAUGAAGUAUAAGCUAAUAAUCUCAUAACCUAACAAUAAAUAGCAAGGCAACUUACAAUCAGUGCUAAACAGAAAUAUAAAAAUCAACAACAGAACAUAACAUUAACAAUCAGUGGUAAACUAAACAUGACAAUAUAAAUUUUAAGAUACGACAAAUAUAUUACUACUACUCAAAUUUAACUAGACAAAACGUGAAAGCAAAGAACACGCCGAGCCAACAACAGUAACAUGAAUACUCACGUUUAAUAGCAGCGUCGAGCUUCAAUAUCUCGAACUCGUUGGAAACUGGACAGCAACAACUUCAACGGAACUCAUAACACGAAUGGCAACCUCAAGAGUGGUUUCAUGGCUGCACUGGUGGUCGUUUAUGGAGGUCUGGGGAAGAAGAGAGGUUGGUUUAGGUAGUCAUUGGCGAUGCGACGCAGCAACGCAGCCACAACUGCUGCUCAAAAGGAGAGGACGACGCUAUUGGUUUUUCCGGGAAGCAUCAGUCGAAGGGCGGCGACGACGGGACUGGUGCAUGGUGGGGCUUCCUGUAAGGGUCAUUUGGUGAGUUGAAGAAGAAGACGAUGGUAUCUUUAUCUUCAGGUGGUUGGGUUUUCGUUUUGUUUGGUUUGUCGAAAUGGAGACGUUGGUUUGGUGGGGGUGACGACGAGCAGCAAUGGUUGUUGGGGAAGCUGGACGGGAUGGCUGGAACUGGUGGUUUCGGCGUUGGAGGGGGCUGCUGGAGGUGAAAGGAGGUGGUACGAGGGGUUGUUGAUGGUGGUUUUUGGGGUCGUGUUCGUUAGGGUUUUUGUUUGGAAGAAGAUGGGGGAUUGGGCUGGUUGCGACGAGGGGGGGGGGGGAGCUGGAGGUUGACGGUGGUUUUGGGAUUGUUGAGGGAAGUUGGUCCGGUGCUGGGGGAAGUCGGGAAUGGAGGGUUUUUGCUUCUUCUUUCAAAGAGAAAGAAGAAGAUGCACAGUAACUCUCCUUUUUCCAAAAAUCCCAUGUCCGUGUAUUUGUGUAGUUUUGCCAAGAAAAAUGAGCCCCACGUGUGGUGGGGUUCNNNNNNNNNNNNNNNNNNNNNNNNNGGAAUUCAAAUUCCUAACUCCUAUUCCUAUUAAGAUGGUACCCAUAUCCGGAAAGAAGGUUGGAAAGAGAGAUUGUUGUGAAAAAGCUGAGUUAGAGGAAUUGGAUUUUUGUAUGAUGUCUACGAUAAGUAAAUAUGAGGUCUUUAGCAGAUCAUAUGUAUACUGAAAUAGGUAAGCUUCUUGAUAAGAAGCCGUAAGGUAAGAAUGUCUAUCCAUCUUUAUGGUGAAGGACAAUGAGAGAUUAAGAAGAUAAGUACAAGUUUCGGCAAGUAAAAGGAGCAAGGUGAAAAAGGGUACGAGGUACCUAGUUAAUGAAGGUUAACAGCGUUUAUAAUUAAGGAAGAGGAACAUAAGCCUUUUGAGUUAUAUUUAAUAGUAACAGAGGUAUAUACAAUUGGUCGCACCCCUUCCAGAUAUAGAUAUGCCCUAUGGGGGUUAACAAAAGUAUUAUUAGAAGAUAUAAUGGAUGAAUUGUUUGCGUUAGUUGACAUUUCCGAAGGAUAUUGCAAAUAUGCUAAUAGAUCUCCUUAUGAGACACCAGAUGAUGCACUCUGAAAUAGUGCAGCCAAAUAUGAGUGCUAUAAGGACAUGCACUAUAAGCCUUGAAAGGAUAAAUAUUACCUUAGUGUUUCCCUUAUCCUUAGUAAAGCGAGAACGUUAAGCAACUUGAAGAGCUACUGGAUGUAGCAAAGGAAAGCUAAAAGCGAAAGAAUGUCAUAUUGAAGUUUUCACAAGAAAAGGGAUAUGCAGAAAUAUUAGCAGAAUAAUGAGAAAAGGAAUAAGAAAGCAUUAUGAAUAAGGUGUGAUACAUGGAUGAAAACGGUAGUGUUACAGAAUUGAUAGUCAAAUGAAGGAAGAGACUAAAGGUGAUGGGCCUUAAGACAACGAUAGAGUAUAGGCCAUAAGGUUAUAUCCUCAUUUCGAGAAAUAAGUUCAUGACUCCUGCGACAACCAUAGGGAAGAGUUAAUCCCCAGAGGAAAAGAAAUCAGUAUGGACUGGUAAACAAGAUAAACUAAAUAUGAAUUAGGGACUGAGUAAUUUGAUGGUGGUCGGCAUUAUGAGAACUUCAUAUUGCUUUCCGGCGAUAAUAGAAUGGACCAUAAAGGAAGAUUCAUGAGAAACCCAGAGAAUGGUGAUUCAGGAAGACGCUUCCCUACAACAAGCAAUGUGAGAAAAGUUUAGCUUAAGGGACUGUAUGUGCCAGCUAUACUAAAUUUUACCAUCGCGAGUGAGGAACUUUGUUAUCCUUGGUAUAGAAGGAUUGCCGCAAAAAGAGUAAGGGUCAUUGAUGAUGUGAAAAGACGCCAAUGAUGAAGAGGUAACACAUCUAUAGGUAGAUCAUCGUAGCUUCAUCUCUUAGUACACCCCUAAAAGGGGGGAAUAUGGAGUGAUUUGGUAUUAUGUCAGAAUUAAGUGGUUCUAGUGACUAUGGAAUGGUAAAGGAAGAAUGCGAUAAAUAAAAGAGGAAUGAAACGGCACUUAUCCAAAUCUUACAGAUACGCUACGAUUCAAGAAUAUUGUGCAAGCAUGACGUCAAGGAGAUGAAGUAAAGGUUCCUGCCCGAACUAUUAUUAAUAAAUAAAGAGCCUAUGCGAGACGUAAAUUAAGACAAAGGAAAUAACCCAAGAAAGAUUACAAGGAAUAUUGAUAUGAGAAUGGGCCAACGAGUAGUUAGUAAUUGGUCAAGAAGAUCCCAAUUAUGGCUAAACAGGAGGUUACAGACGAGUCAUCAGACCGUGUGAGAUAAAUAAAAUAGAACCCAACAUGGAGAGUUCAGCCUCGAAGAAUACCAUUAUAAUACUUGAAAUAUAUUCAAACAAGAGUCGGGGUAGCUAAAGAUACUGUUGAGUGUUACGGGGAUAAAAGAAGGUGCCACUGAGAAGGCAGUCAAAAUAUCAGUUUAGAGGCAACCAUACGAGCACAAAGGCAUGAAGGUAAGCAACUACGGAUGAUUAAAGGCAAGUAAGGACAUCAAAAAAGUUCGUAAUAAGCUCACAACUUUACGAGAGUCAAGGGUUCUCCCUAAAUACUACAACAAAAGACUAGCUGACGAGAUAAGAAAGAAGGCUUCAACCUAAGCACAACGACCUAAAGAGGAAAUGAUCGUGUAACAACAAUCUCGUAAUAACAUUGUAAGCAUUCCAAAGGAAAAUGGCACUUAACGUGGCUAAUGAAUGGGAAGUAUGAAUUCAAAGUAAUAUUCGAGAUCAUAUGAGUUAUAUGAAAACUAUGGCAAGUCUGGGCACUAAGAUAAGCUAAGUAUGGACGCAACAAGGGGGCAGAAAGACCAGGAAAAGUAAUAGCUUAUGUUGAAAGAAAGCUAAGACGGAACGAAGGAAUUAUUUGAUCAAUGAUCCAGAGUUAGUAUGUUAUGGACACACUCAAGAUUUUGGAACAUUAUCCAAGCAGCAUAUUUGUUGACAAUCAUACAGCCAUAGAAGACUCCCGUAUAAGAUAAAAGAAAGAAUUAAACCCAGGGCAUAGACAAAGGAUUCAAUUAUUAGAAGAUUGCACCAUGGAUAUCCCUCAAUGCCUAUGAAAGGCUAAAGUAAUAACCAAUACCAUGAGCCACAAAUCGGAAGAUAGCUUAAGCCUAUGUAAAGGCUGAUCAGAAGCAAGAGGAAACUAAAGAAUGACAUCAACUAAGUAAUCAGGAGUCUGAUUAUUGGACCCAGAAGUUAUAGGUGGCUGAAAACAUAGCAAAAGCACUCUUAAUAUUAGAGGUGCAAGAAAGAUAGCACAACAAAUAUAUUCUAUAACAGUUCUACGAUAAAGCCAGUUAGAAGAAGUACCAACCUCAUAAGAAGUCAGUACGAAGCUCCCACCGGAUUGUGUAUGUACCAGAAGUGCAAGUAUUAUAAUAGAGCUUCAAGUUAUGGACGUGAAUUACACCUAGGUGGAAGGGAGGUUAUGAAAGAGAUAGAAGAUACGAUACGAGAGUAAGCUGGGAUUUGGUAAUAUACCUCAACAACGAUAAAUUAAAGUAAGAGUUAUGGCAGUAAAUUCACACGGAUGGCUAAACGGACUUAUGUAAUGAGAUAUAGCAAUAUUCGUGAAUUCAACAAAGAACCAAGCAAAGAACUUCAGUAUACUCACAUAUGCCCAAAGGGACAUCUUAUCAAGCUCUAUGACGCCUAGAUAUUGGCUAAAGACUAGGAAAUAAGGAGAUAAGAGUCGCAUAGGCGUGCAUACAAGUUCAGAGUCGUACAGACUGCAUAAUGGAAGGCAGCAACAGUUACGAGGUUGGAAGGAUUCCGACCACAAUCCAUGGUGUGAGAAAGAGGCCUAAAAGGGCGAAUGCCCUGGCCGUUGGAUUUAUUCACAGAAUAGUCGCCUAGACGUCAAGGAGAUUACUAAAGUAUUCGAAAGACAUAGAUUAUGAAAAUGAUAAGUGCACCAGUCAACAUUCGAGGACGAAUGUUCUAAAAGGGGGGAAUGAUGUUACACUCCAUGUUUUCAUACAUGAAAAUACACCAGGAGUAAAUUGAUAUAAGCUCGUGAAUGAGAUUAUUAUUGAGUUUUUAAGUAUUAUGUUAUUUCAAACAAGUUAUAAGUAAAUUCGUGAAGGUGAGAGGGUAAACAAAUCAAAGAAAAUGAAUUUUCGUCCAAGUUUGGCAUGUUGGGAUAAAAUACGGGUCGAACGAUAAUACCCGAUAAUUAUAAACUAGUACCAUGUAAGGUACCACAUGACCAUAAUAGUAAAGUAUAUAAAGUGUAUUAAAAGGGAGUAAUAUUUUAACUAAUUUGAAAUAAUUGGUUAAUUAUUUAUUUAAGUGGGUAAGUGUAGGAAUUGUCUUGUCCACGUGGGACCAUGACAACUAAACUAAACUAUGACUAAUAUGUGUGCUACGUUGGUGUCAUACUUUGGGAGCAAGAAAUCUUGCUAAGCAUUAAUUAUAAAUGGGGCCUACCAACCAAGACACUUAAAGAAUGCAUUUUGAAACUAGAGAAAUUAUUUUUUAAGACUCAAGCCUUUGGAUUUAGGCUUGCUAAGAACGGUGGAACUCACCAUUUUUCAAAGACCUCUUUAUCUUAGAAUUCUUUUUAUGUGAGAUAUCAUAUGACUACGGUAGUGUAAUAUAUAAAGUAUAUAUGAAGUAUUUUGAAAAUAAAUAGAAUUUUAAUUAAUUUUGGGCAAUUUUUAAAAAAUGCGGGUUAUAUAUUAAUUACCGGGUAACGGGACAUUUCCUAAUUAAAUGAGGAUAAAUUUGGAUAAUAUAUAUCCAAACACGUGGCAGCAAGGCCAUAUACAAAAUGGUGACUCUUAAUCAAGUCUUAUUAAGUGGCAAAUUGGGCACAUUUCCCAACACUAAUAUAUCAAUUUUCUAGUUUACUUUUAGUAAAAGAAUUAACAAAGAUAUGACAAAACCCAUGUUCAAAAAACGUCUCCAACUUCAAUUCAUUUUCCUUGGUUUGAAACCAAGAACUUGGAAUAAAAAAAUCGCUCUUGUCCAACUCCAAGCCAACGAAUUUGUUCUUGGUUUUGAAACCAAGAACAUUAAAACAAAACACUUCGUCCUAGUAUUCAACUAGUUAGCCAAAUUCAAGUAUUUUAAAAUCCCUAUACUUUCAUCCAAAUCUUGGUUUCACUUCAAGUUUAAUGUCUUUGGCAUUGGAAACCAAGAACUAGUCUCGUCUAAAUCCUUGGCUCUAUUUCGUUAUUUUGGCAGUGAUACCAAGCCAAUUUCGUUCCUCAAAUUCAAAAGCGCAGAGGCAUAAAUCCAAUUUUUGGGUUCUAAGUUCAAUCCACGAAGGAUUAUACGGAGUCAUUCCUACUCCAGGUAUGUUAAGGCUAUNNNNNNNNNNNNNNNNNNNNNNNNNNNNNNNNNNNNNNNNNNNNNNNNNNNNNNNNNNNNNNNNNNNNNNNNNNNNNNNNNNNNNNNNNNNNNNNNNNNNNNNNNNNNNNNNNNNNNNNNNNNNNNNNNNNNNNNNNNNNNNNNNNNNNNNNNNNNNNNNNNNNNNNNNNNNNNNNNNNNNNNNNNNNNNNNNNNNNNNNNNNNNNNNNNNNNNNNNNNNNNNNNNNNNNNNNNNNNNNNNNNNNNNNNNNNNNNNNNNNNNNNNNNNNNNNNNNNNNNNNNNNNNNNNNNNNNNNNNNNNNNNNNNNUAUGACGCUGAAAGUAAUUUAUGAUUUACAAAGUUAUUCAGACGUACGGGUUGAGUCAUGUACUCCAUAUGUCUUCCAUGUCUCCUAUGUAUUUAUUUAUGUGUCUUACAUACUCGGUACAUUAUUCGUACUGACGUCCCUUUUGCCUGAGGACGCUGUGUUUCAUGCCCGCAGGUCCUGAUAGACAGGUCAAGAGCCUUCCAAGUAGGCUAUCAGCUCAGCGGAAGAUGUUGGUACGCUCCAUUUGCUUCGGAGCUGCGUAUUUGGUUAGUAUGAUUUAGACGUCUAUUGUUUAGUAUGGCGGGACUCUGUUCUGACCGUUGUGACACUUAUGUACUCUUAGAGGUCUAUAGAUAUAUGUCGUAUACGUGGAAGAUUGUACAGCCCUGUACGGCCUAUGUUUGAGUUUAUAACUGAUUAUGUUAGCCUAUUAGGCCCAUAUGUCACAUGUAUAUAAUGAUGUAAUAAUAAAGGUACAUUACGUUGGUACUCAG
rnacentral:lncRNA from 1 species